GUUCCGGUAGCUCAGGGGUAGUAGCGACAGAUUGCAACUACUGCAAUAUAUCUGUAGGUCGCGGGUUCAAAUCUCGCCCGGAACU
rnacentral:tRNA from 1 species